rnacentral:rRNA from 1 species
CUUACCAUGCAGUCGAACGAUGAAGCCCAGCUUGCUGGGUGGAUUAGUGGCGAACGGGUGAGUAACACGUGAGUAACCUGCCCUUGACUCUGGGAUAAGCCUGGGAAACUGGGUCUAAUACCGGAUAGGAACGUCCACCGCAUGGUGGGUGUUGGAAAGAUUUAUCGGUCAUGGAUGGACUCGCGGCCUAUCAGCUUGUUGGUGAGGUAAUGGCUCACCAAGGCGACGACGGGUAGCCGGCCUGAGAGGGUGACCGGCCACACUGGGACUGAGACACGGCCCAGACUCCUACGGGAGGCAGCAGUGGGGAAUAAUUGCACAAUGGCGAAGCCUGAUGCAGCGACGCCGCGUGGAGGGAUGACGCUUCGGGUUGUAAACUCUUUCAGUAGGGAGAAGCGGAAAGUGACGGUACUGCAGAAGAAGCACCGGCUAACUACGUGCCAGCAGCCGCGGUAAUACGUAGGGUGCGAGCGUAUCCGGAAUUAUUGGGCGUAAAGAGCUCGUAGGCGGUUUGUCGCGUCUGUCGUGAAAGUCCGGGGCUUAACCCCGGAUCUGCGGUGGGUACGGGCAGACUAGAGUGCAGUAGGGGAGACUGGAAUUCCUGGUGUAGCGGUGGAAUGCGCAGAUAUCAGGAGGAACACCGAUGGCGAAGGCAGGUCUCUGGGCUGUAACUGACGCUGAGGAGCGAAAGCAUGGGGAGCGAACAGGAUUAGAUACCCUGGUAGUCCAUGCCGUAAACGUUGGGCACUAGGUGUGGGGACCAUUCCACGGUUUCCGCGCCGCAGCUAACGCAUUAAGUGCCCCGCCUGGGGAGUACGGCCGCAAGGCUAAAACUCAAAGGAAUUGACGGGGGCCCGCACAAGCGGCGGAGCAUGCGGAUUAAUUCGAUGCAACGCGAAGAACCUUACCAAGGCUUGACAUGUUCUCGAUCGCCGUAGAGAUACGGUUUCCCCUUUGGGGCGGGAUCACAGGUGGUGCAUGGUUGUCGUCAGCUCGUGUCGUGAGAUGUUGGGUUAAGUCCCGCAACGAGCGCAACCCUCGUUCCAUGUUGCCAGCACGUCAUGGUGGGGACUCAUGGGAGACUGCCGGGGUCAACUCGGAGGAAGGUGGGGACGACGUCAAAUCAUCAUGCCCCUUAUGUCUUGGGCUUCACGCAUGCUACAAUGGCCGGUACAAUGGGUUGCGAUACUGUGAGGUGGAGCUAAUCCCAAAAAGCCGGUCUCAGUUCGGAUUGGGGUCUGCAACUCGACCCCAUGAAGUCGGAGUCGCUAGUAAUCGCAGAUCAGCAACGCUGCGGUGAAUACGUUCCCGGGCCUUGUACACACCGCCCGUCAAGUCACGAAAGUCGGUAACACCCGAAGCCGGUGGCCUAACCCUUGUGGGGGGAGCCGUCGAAGGUGACAGACGUUU